CGCGGCCUAUCAGCUUGUUGGUGAGGUAACGGCUCACCAAGGCUACGACGGGUAGCUGGUCUGAGAGGACGAUCAGCCACACUGGGACUGAGACACGGCCCAGACUCCUACGGGAGGCAGCAGUAGGGAAUCUUGCGCAAUGGGGGAAACCCUGACGCAGCGACGCCGCGUGCGGGAUGACGGCCCUAGGGUUGUAAACCGCUUUCAGCAGGGACGAAACUGACGGUACCUGCAGAAGAAGGCCCGGCCAACUACGUGCCAGCAGCCGCGGUAAUACGUAGGGGCCAAGCGUUGUCCGGAAUCAUUGGGCGUAAAGAGCUCGUAGGCGGUUUGGUAAGUCGGAUGUGAAAUCUCCACGCUCAACGUGGAGCGGCCAUCCGAUACUGCCAUGACUUGAGUCCGGUAGAGGAGUGUGGAAUUCCCGGUGUAGCGGUGAAAUGCGCAGAUAUCGGGAGGAACACCAGUAGCGAAGGCGACACUCUGGGCCGGUACUGACGCUGAGGAGCGAAAGCGUGGGGAGCGAACAGGAUUAGAUACCCUGGUAGUCCACGCCGUAAACGUUGGGCACUAGGUGUGGGGCUCUAUCGACGAGUUCCGUGCCGUAGCUAAGGCAUUAAGUGCCCCGCCUGGGGAGUACGG
rnacentral:rRNA from 1 species